GCGGAGGAUCAUUACCGAGUUGAUUCGGGCUCCGGCCCGAUCCUCCCACCCUUUGUGUACCUACCUCUGUUGCUUUGGCGGGCCGCGGUCCUCCGCGGCCGCCCCCCUCCCCGGGGGGGUGGCCAGCGCCCGCCAGAGGACCAUCAAACUCCAGUCAGUAAACGAUGCAGUCUGAAAAACAUUUAAUAAACUAAAACUUUCAACAACGGAUCUCUUGGUUCUGGCAUCGAUGAAGAACGCAGCGAAAUGCGAUAAGUAAUGUGAAUUGCAGAAUUCAGUGAAUCAUCGAAUCUUUGAACGCACAUUGCGCCCUUUGGUAUUCCGAAGGGCAUGCCUGUUCGAGCGUCAUUACAACCCUCAAGCUCUGCUUGGUAUUGGGCACCGUCCUUUGCGGGCGCGCCUCAAAGACCUCGGCGGUGGCGUCUUGCCUCAAGCGUAGUAGAACAUACAUCUCGCUUCGGAGCGCAGGGCGUCGCCCGCCGGACGAACCUUCUGAACUUUUCUCAAGGUUGACCUCGGAUCAGGUAGGGAUACCCGCUGAACUUAAGCAUAUC
rnacentral:sRNA from 1 species